ensembl:lncRNA
GUAUUUAACACCACCGCAGACACCACAAACAGAGGCAGCUGUUGUCUGUGUGUUGUGCUUUUUUCCUCUUUGUCUGACAAGGACCUGAGCCCAAGGACCAUGCCCCAGGACUACCUGACAUGAUGACUCCUUGCUGUCCCCAGUCCACCUGGCCAUGCUGCUGCUCCAGUUUCAACUGACCUGAGCCCUAGGACCAUGCCCCAGGACUACCUGACAUGAUGACUCCUUGCUGUCCCCAGUCCACCUGGCAAUGCUGCUGCUCCAGUUUAAACUGUUCUGCCUUAUUAUUAUUAGACCAUGCUGGUCAUUUAUGAACAUUUGAACAUCUUGGCCAUGUUCUGUUAUAAUCUCCACCCGGCACAGCCAGAAGAGGACUGGCCACCCCACAUAGCCUGGUUCCUCUCUAGGUUUCUUCCUAAGUUUUGGCCUUUCUAGGGAGUUUUUCCUAGCCACCGUGCUUCUACACCUGCAUUGCUUGCUGUUUGGGGGUUUAGGCUGGGUUUCUGUACAACACUUUGAGAUAUCAGCUGAUGUACGAAGGGCUAUAUAAAUACAUGUGAUUUGAUUUUGAUUUGAUUUGGAAGAGACCGAGGAGAAAAAGAGGGAAGAAAGGAAAGAGGGGGUAGAGGGUAAAGAAGAGAAAAGAGUGGAAGAGCCCUGAUCCUCUGUAGGAACACAAGACUGAGUGGGAAUGUUUUCGUCACCAACAGAAACGGGUAACUAAAACGUGAAUGGACUAACUCUUUACCAAUCACUCUUCAGUGGAAUCAGACGGUACUAUCAGCCUUGAACCUGUAGAAUGGAAGAAAUAACAGGCAGUGCAGGCCAGAGCACACGCACACACACACACACACACACACACACACACACAGCAGGUCAACCACACAGGUCAGAUAUCUCUCCUCCAGAUCAGGGACCAGCCAGGAGCACCAGCGGGCCAACAGAUCACUGCUAGAGACCGCCUCCCAAAUUCAACGCUAUUCCCUAUGUAGUGCACUACUUUUGACCGGGGCCCUACAGGGUAGUAUUCAGUGCCCAGCGGGCUCAGGUCAAUAGUAGUGCACUAUGUAGGGAAUAGUGUUCCAUUUGGGCCACAGCCAUAGAGGCCUGCUGUUGGCCACUCACAUCUGUAAUCACUAUUCAACACACAAUGACCAUGAAGGCCGUUUAAGUCUAACACUCAGCAGACACAGUGUUCAGAACAGUGAUGGUUAAAUUGUGAUCCCACUUGCCCUUUCAAGGGAACCAAUAUUUGGAGCCACAACAACUGACAGAGAAGAGAAAUGGAGACAUUAUAGAGCUGAGGAAACAAACUAAAUGACGGCAC